rnacentral:rRNA from 1 species
AUUGAACGCUGGCGGCAGGCUUAACACAUGCAAGUCGAGCGGAGAGAGGUAGCUUGCUACUGAUCUUAGCGGCGGACGGGUGAGUAAUGCAUAGGAAUCUGCCUAUUAGUGGGGGACAACAUUCCGAAAGGAAUGCUAAUACCGCAUACGCCCUACGGGGGGAAAGCAGGGGAUCUUCGGACCUUGCGCUAAUAGAUGAGCCUAAGUCGGAUUAGCUAGUUGGUGGGGUAAAGGCCUACCAAGGCGACGAUCUGUAGCGGGUCUGAGAGGAUGAUCCGCCACACUGGGACUGAGACACGGCCCAGACUCCUACGGGAGGCAGCAGUGGGGAAUAUUGGACAAUGGGCGGAAGCCUGAUCCAGCCAUGCCGCGUGUGUGAAGAAGGCCUUUUGGUUGUAAAGCACUUUAAGCGAGGAGGAGGCUACCUGGAUUAAUACUCUAGGAUAGUGGACGUUACUCGCAGAAUAAGCACCGGCUAACUCUGUGCCAGCCGCCGCCGUAAUAC